rnacentral:rRNA from 1 species
CACGGAGUUAGCCGGUGCUUAUUCCUAUGGUACCGUCAACACCUUUAGAUAAAAGUGGUUUCUUCCCAUAUAAAAGAAGUUUACAAUCCAGAGGACCUUCAUCCUUCACGCGGCAUGGCUGGUUCAGACUUGCGUCCAUUGACCAAUAUUCCUUACUGCUGCCUCCCGUAGGAGUCGGGCCCGUGUCUCAGUGCCCGUGUGACUGGUCGCGCUCUCACGCCAGUUACUGAUCGUUGGCUUGGUGAGCCGUUACCUCACCAACUACCUAAUCAGCCGCACGCCCAUCUUUAAGCGAAAUUCUUUAAUCACUAAGUGAUGCCACUCUAUGAUCUUAUGGGGUAUUAAUCCGAAUUUCUUCGGGCUAUCUCCCACUUAAAGGAAGGUUACGUACGUGUUCCGCACCCGUUUGCCGGUCGCCGCCAGGUAUUGCUACCCGCGAUGCCCCUCGACUUGCAUGUAUUAGGCCUGCCGCUAGCGUUCAUCCUGAGCCAGGAUCAAACUC